UGUAAAGUUCAAGCCCCGAUUAUGAGGGCGAAACCGCGAAUGGCUCAUUAAAUCAGUCAUAAUCUACUUGAUUGUUUAAAGUUUAUAUGGAUAACUGUGGUAAUUCUAGAGCUAAUACAUGCACAAAGAGGGUGACUCUCGCAAGGGAGAAGCUCUGCGUUUAUUAGACUAAGACCAAUGACUCCUUCGGGCAGUCUACAUUAAGGUGACUCUGAGUAAAUAAUGGGUGCAAACCCAUGAUGCCGACCUGACAUACCAAAAAGGCCUAAAGCCUUGUCAGGCAAAUCAAUCGAGUGUCUGCUCUAUCAACUGUGGAUGGUAGGAUAAUUGCCUACCAUGGUGGUGACGGGUAACGGGGAGUUAGGGCUCGACUCCGGAGAACAAGCCUGAGAAACGGCUAGUAGGACUAAGGUCUGCAGCAGGCGCGAAACUUACACAAUGCUAGAUUACAAUUAGCGAUGUAGUGAAGAAAAAUAACGAUGUACUUCCAUUUAAACAUGGUAGUACAAUUGGAAUGAGACGACUAUAAAUGAGUUAGUCGAGUAACAAAUGGAGGGCAAGUCUGGUGCCAGCAGCCGCGGUAAUUCCAGCUCCAUUAGCAUACAUUAAAGUUGUUGCGGUUAAAAAGCUCGUAGUUGAAUUUUAGGCGGGCUCUAUUGGGUCCCAACCGUUACGGCGCAGCGCAACAUGGUUCGCCCAGUCGCCUGUUGCUGGUUGGCGGCUCCAUUAGGAACCCGCUGUUUCGUCACUUAAUCGAGUGCGAAGCGGGCUGGCACGGUACCAACUCCGGUUGGGUCAUCGUUUCAGCAUGUUUACCUUGAGAAAAUUAGAGUGCUCACAGCAGGCAGUUGGGGUGUAAAAGCUCCUUUAUGCUUGAAUAAUGUUGCAUGGAAUAAUAGAAUACGGCCUCGGUUCUAUUCUGUUGGUCUUAUAGAACAACAAACAAGUUGGUUAAAGCGACCAAAAAGUUCGCUUGCGAGUGUGGCUCGGCCGGUUAUGUUGCCUGGGAGGUAAAAGUUUCAGCGCCUUGCCGGUCGCGCCAUCAAAAGCACUCCUUGCGGGCUAGCUUUCUAAUCAACUGAGGCAAUGGUUAAAAGAAAUAGUCGCGGCGGCAUCAGUACUGCAUCGUGAGAGGUGAAAUUCUUAGACCGAUGCAAGACUAACUGAAGCGAAAGCGUUUGCCGAGGAUAUUUUCAUUAAUCAAGAACGAAAGUUAGAGGUUCGAAGGCGAUCAGAUACCGCCCUAGUUCUAACCAUAAACGUUGCCAACUAGCAAUUGGGUUGCGAUUCCUUUAAUCGACGUGUGUAAAAGCCGUCGAUCAUUAUGAUCCACCCAGCGGCUCUCGUAGGGAAACCAAAGUGUUUGGGUUCCGGGGGAAGUAUGAUUGCAAAGUUGAAACUUAAAGGAAUUGACGGAAGGGCACCACCAGGAGUGGAGCCUGCGGCUUAAUUUGACUCAACACGGGGAAACUUACUAGAUUAGAACUCUGGAAUGAUUGACAGAUUGAUAGCUCUUUCUUGAUUCAGAGGAUGGUGGUGCAUGGCCGUUCUUGAUUCGUAUUCCGAAACGUCUGCUUAAUUGCGAUAACGAGUGAGACCUCACCCAACUAACUAGUCGUUAGGUGCGCUGUGGAACACAAAAAGUCCAGUGCGGGUUCUGCGUGCAUGCAAAGGGGCAACCCGGAGUGUGUGCGUUCCGUGUUGGAUGUUCUCUGCUCGCCUGCGGACUUCUUAGAGGGAUAAACGGUGUUUUAGCCGUAAGAAACGAG
rnacentral:rRNA from 1 species